ACCUGCACAAUGUGCACAUGUACCCUAAAACUUAAAGUAUAAUAAUAAUAAAAAUAAUAAUCAUAGAAAAAUAAAAUAAAAUUACAAAAAAAAUAAAAAAUAUAGUAAAUUUAAAAGAGAAAAAGAUGAGGUAAAGGUAAAUGUACAGAAUUUACUUUUUCUUCUAUAAAACCCGAGUCAGUACCAAGAAGAGUCAAUUUAUUAGUUUUCUAAAAUAAAAAAAAAUCAAAAUCACCAAAAAAGAGCAAUAUCCAAGAAAACAUUGAAAAUGAAACACAACAUUUAGUAAGAAUAGAAAACUUGGGCACUGUAUCACCCUGUUCCUAGAUACCGAUUUACUGGUGGCCAUUUAAAUAGAAUUUUUUUCUAUCUAAUUCAUUUAUACUUCCAGAGUUCGAAAUUACAUUUCACCUGCAAUAAAUGAGAUAACACUUGUAAAUUAUAUGGCACUCUGCCUAACACACGUUAAUAACUCAAUACAUGUUAGCAAUAAACUUUUAGUAUAGUAGUCAAAGUAUUAAUUUCUCACAUUGCAAUUUCCUUCAAAGACAUGAAUACAACCUUUCUAAUGACUCCUUGUUCAUCAAGAUACCUCUUCAAAUUAUUCUAUUUGUUUCAUUCAGUAUAUUAUCUGUGUAUACCGAUAUUACACUCUUUUCUUUUUUUGAGAUGGAAUCUCAUUCUGUUACUGAUGCUGGAGUGAGGUGGCAUGAUCUCGGUUCACUGCAACCUCCACCUCCCAGGUUCAAGCGAUUCUCCUGUCUCAGCCCCACAAGUAGCUAGGACUACAGGUGCACACCACCAUGCCUGGCUAAUUUUUGUGUUUUUAGUACAGCCAGAGUCCAUGCCUGGCUGGACUCGAACUCCUGACCUCAGGUGAUCCACCCACCAUGGCCUCCCAAAGUGCUGGGAUUACAGGCAUAAGCCACCGCACCCAGCCUGAUAUUGCACUCUUGGAUUUUGAACACUGAAUAUCUUUUUGAAAGAUUACACCUCUUUACCUCUUUGUGCUUCAGAAAUUAUUUUCCUUCAAGUGUUCUAAGAGUCUAAUGAAGAAUGAAGUCAUGUUUUAUCACUUUUGUCCUUAAAGAUUUCAGACAUGCUGAAACUGAUUGAAGUAUCAUUUGCUACCAGAUAGAUUAAUUAUCUCUAGUUGUAGGAGUGGAUACAUCUUUAAUGGUAUAUUUUGGGUUAUUGUCUUAUUUUUGAUGCAGUAUUCUAUAAAUAAUUUAUUAAACCUGGCAUCCUUGGGUGAGCAUAGAUUUUUCAACUUUGGUGUUAUAUUGUGUUUGCUUUUAAAAACUGCUUUUGAGGCCAGGUAUGGUGGCUCUUGCCCAUACCCAGCACUUUGGGAGGCCAAGGUGGGCGGAUUACCUCAGGUCAGGAGUUCAAGACCAGCCUGGUCAACAUGGCAAAACCAUGUCUCUACUAAAAACACAAAAUUAGCCAGGCAUGGUGGUGCAUGCUUGUAGUUCUAACCACUCGAGAGGCUGAGGCAAGAGAAUCACCUGAGCCUAGGAGGCAAAGGUUGCUAGGUUGCUGUGAGCCAAAUUCGCACCAUUGCACUCCAGCCUGGGUGAAAAGAGCAAAACUCAUCUCAAAAAAAAAAAAAAAACCCACCAAAAACUGCUUUUGAAUGGAGUUGUACAUACAAUUUUUAUGAAAAAAAUUAUCAAGUGCAUAAGUUCAUAAUGGAAAAACCAAUAAUACUCCAGGCACAAGUUAGUACUAAAAAAAUUAUGUUGAAUAUUCUCUAAUACAACAUGCUUUUUCCCUUCAUGAACAAUUUGUGUUUUACUGAGAAGAGUCAUUGUUUAUGGUAGACAUUAGACUACAGAUGAAUAUGUACUUUAAACACUCUUAGUUGCUUUCUUAAUUUUAUAUCUGCUGCUUUAUGCUUCUGUUUAUUUUCAUUCUUUCCAAUGUCCACAUUCUAGUAAAUUUGAAUAUUUUAAUCCGUUUAUAUACUAUUUAAUAUUGCUUGUAUAGUUUAGUAUUGUUAAGACUCAAAAAGGUUUACAGAAAGAAGAAAAAGAUCAACAUGUUAUUAAUCAUUUAAAGAUCAUUUUAAAAUCUUUGACCUUUAUAUUUUAAUGAAUAAAAUGUUAGUAGUUAUUAGUAUAAAAUAAUUUAUGUCUUUUGGACUUAGCAUCCAGUAUUUUUUAAUAAAGAAAAUAAUUAUUCUCUUGCAAUAUACUAUGUUUAUCUGGGUUUUGAAAAGUGAUGUUUCCUAAUAUGAGAAAGCCAUUUACAUUUUUAAAUCUACAAAGGCAAAUGGAAUGGUACUAAAUUAUUUACAUAAUAAUGUUUAGAUGGUGGCCCUUAUAACAUUCUUUCUAUACUUCCUACAGAGUUGGGGAUAUGCAAUCCUAGAAUAUUUCUGGGAGCUAAUCCUUUAGCUUGAUGAAUGAAACAAGACUUUUAAAUAAAAUUAAACUUUCAAAUUAUCCAGGUAAUGGGCCUGUCUUUUAAUUCAAUGGAUAUGGAGCAUAAUGAAUUAUCCCCUGUUCUUUGGGUAAUAAGUUCUCAUUCUUAACUUAUAAUACUCAAAAUGUCCUUUAAUUUUUAAUUUUUGAUAGUCAUAUCAUUAUCCCUAGGUAUUUUAGCUUCUAUCUUAAUUCUAAAAUAAUUUUGAAAUAGGAGAAAGUAUUCUUUAUUACUAUAUGUAUUAAACAUCAUGGUUUUCAAAUUUAACUGCAAAUGUAUCUUUUCAUUGCUUCUUGAUGACGCCCUUCACCCUAUCCAUAUUGUCACUACCAAGUGGCGAUUACUUUUCAGGUUCACAUACUUAUUCUUCAGAAAAAUCUUCUCUGUGCCUUAUAAAGAAUAUGAUUGUUGGCAUUCAAAAGCCAGCGAAGUAUACAUUAUUAGCCUGUUGCCUAACUCAUUUCUUUAAGAAACUACACUAAUUACCCACAUACUUAUGUUUUUAUUUCCUCAUUAUUUCUGGAGAAAACAAAUACUGCUAACAUGAUAUUUGUAAGAGAGAAAAAAGUCUUUUCUUGAAAAGUGCUGUCUUUGUAGUACUAACUUAUAGUAUCAACUUCUUUAUAAACUCCUUAUACACUUUUUAUUCUGAGAGAAAUAAAAAAGCUAAAAGUGAAAUGACUUUUUUUACUCUCCAUAUUAUAAGCACCCAUCUUGGUAAUUUAGGGUCUUUAUAGUUAGGGUAAGUUGUAUCAUACCGAGGUUACAAAAUAAAAAGUAUUUUGUCUCUUUGGGCCUUUCCUUAUUCAGUAAUACUGUCAGUUUGGCUUUUUUUGUAGGUCAACUUAUUGAACUCAGUAUUCUGAAAUAAUAUGUUUACUAUCUUUUGAUAAGCAUUUAAAAUAUUAGAUUUAUUGUUACUCUUCUGCCUUUAUUGGGCUGGAAGAAUAAUUGUUUCACUCCACAAAAGCCAAGUUGCAGAGAAAAACACAUAGACAUUAAACUGCAAAGCAGAGAAACUUGACUAUUUUCUGCAAUUUUAAAGUGUAUAUUGAAUAAAACCAUCUUUUUAUUUUCUUUUUUGCUCACUGGCAAAUAUUAACAACAUCAAGUGUAUUAUUAUAAUGUUAUCUAGUUUAAAAUCUCAAAGUUUUCAUAAUUACCAUUUUAAAAUAUGUAAAUAGGUGACCUAAUGUUAAUUUUUAUUGUCUGAGACCAUGUCUGUUAUUUCACUCUUUAAAUUCAAUUAGUAAUGCAGAACCUAGCACUUAGUAGAUACUCAAAAAUUAUUUGCUGAAUAAAAAAAGGUUAAACAUGUAAUAUAUACAAAAUGUACUGGAAAAAAUGCACCAAACAAUUUUGUUAUACCAGUUUAAUGUAAAUAUUGCUUUUAAAAGAUAAUAUAGUUUUCAGGUGUCUACAGUGAUUUUGUAAUAUUUGUGCACAUAUAAUAAUUCCAAAAAUGUAAUCCAGUGGGGAAAUAUACUCUCUAAAUUCUAGAUUUAUAAUUUAGGGUUUAAAUUAUAAAAUCAUUAAAUAAGACACAAGUGAAAUAUAGUCAAAUAUCCCCUUGGAAAAAAAAUUAAGUGGUCUCUAAAGUGAGGUAUUCAUAUAUGUAAUUUUACAAUCCUCUAGUGAUAGAAUUAAUUAAAUACGCCACCAAAUUGAUUAAUUCCUACAGUAUUAAAAGAGAAGCACUAACAAUGCCAGUGACCAUGUAACAUGGAUUUAAGCUAUAAGUCAUAGAAAUGUGAUGAGAAACCUCAGCGCUGUAAAACAGAGGGUGGAGGAAAGCUUUUCCUCUCUCAAAUGAGCUUUGCGAGGUAUACUUCUUGAAGGAUAGGAAGUUGAAGUGUUAGGACUUUUAUGUCUAUUCUACUUUGGCUUAGUUUACAUGAUUCUUAGUUUAUUAGCCUAUAAAUGGCCAAGAAAACUUAAGGUUCAAUAAUUAGUUAUAAAUAUGAAAUAUCCCCAAUUUUUAAGAUAAAAACAACUUAUAAAUGUAUUUGUCUGUAAAAAUUGUGUAUAUUUUUACAGAACAUCUAUUUAUUUUUUUAUUUUUUUAUUUUUUUUAUUAUACUUUAAAUUCUAGGGUACACAUGCACAAUGUGCAGGUUUGUUGCAUAUGUAUACAUGUGCCAUGUUGGUGUGCUGCACCCAUUAACUCAUCAUUUAUAUUAGGCAUAUCUCCUAAUGCUAUCCCUCCCCCCUCCCCCCACCCCACAACAGGCCCUGGUGUGUGAUUUUCCCUUUCCUGUGUCCAAGUGUUCUCAUUGUUCAAUUCCCACCUAUGAGUGAGAACAUGCGGUGUUUGUUUUUUUGUCCUUGCCAUAGUUUGCUGAGAAUGAUGGUUUCCAACUUCAUCCGUGUCCCUACAAAGGACAUGAACUCAUCAUUUUUUAUGGAUGCAUAGUAUUCUAUGGUGUAUAUGUGCCACAUUUUCUUCAUCCAGUCUAUCAUUGUUGGACAUUUGGGUUGGUUCCAAGUCUUUGCUAUUGUGAAUAGUGCCGCAAUAAACAUACGUGUGCAUGUGUCUUUAUAGCAGCACGAUUUAUAAUCCUUUGGGUAUAUACCCAGUAGUGGGAUGGCUGGGUCAAAUGGUAUUUCUAGUUCUAGAUCCCUGAGGAAUGGCCACACUGUCUUCCACAAUGGUUGAACUAGUUUACAGUCCCACCAACAGUGUAAAAGUGUUCCUAUUUCUCCACAUCCUCUCUAGCACCUGUUGUUUCCUGACUUUUUAAUGAUCACCAUUCUAACUGGUGUGAGAUGGUAUCUCAUUGUGGUUUUGAUUUGCAUUUCUCUGAUGGGUCUAUUUCUUUAAAACAAAGUGAGGGGAGUCUCUCAUUUACAUUAGUUUUUUUCAUAGCCUUUUGAACUUUGCAAUUUCUAUGUUUCAGAACCUAUUUCUUACAGUUCUUCUAUGCUAAACUCUGUCCUAGUCAGUUCUAGAGUGUAUGAAGAACCAAAUGAUGUAAUUGUAUGCGACCUGGCUGUAGUGGAACAAAUUUGACUCUAAAGUAUGCAGGCUCUAAUUUUCCUGUCUGGUUUUGUCUAGGAAGAUGACUCAUCAGAAAAAGAAGAAAAAAGAGGUAUUUGGAAAUUGUGCAAAUUAAAGCAGCCCCUGAUGCCAAAGUCUACACAUUCCUGAGUGAGUCAGUUCUGGCCAGUUCUAGCUGGAUCAAGAGAGCUCUGCUGGGCAGGCCUGAAGAGCACCUGGAUGGCAGACACCUGAGGAGCCAGGUGCCUGAAACUUCCUCCACCUGCUUGAGGAGCGCCAAAGCCCAGGUGCUGGCUGGACAACCCCUUCUGGCUGCCUAAGCAGGUGGCAGAAGAAGGAAACAAGGUCAGAGGCAGAGUGUUGAACCCUGCCUCCCAGGUGGGUGGAAGAUGCCUGUCGCCAAACUAGGUCCCAGCUUGCCGGGUGAGAUGGGUGAACUGGUGAUCCCCCGAGAGAGUGGACGUCAGAACUACAUGUUUCCGGACUUCACCUUGGCCAGCGAAGGAGAGAGAGGGUUAAUGUUAACUGCACGAGGCCCACUCUAGCCUUAAAUUCUGUAAUUCAAACCCUUCCCUUGGAGACAAAACAAACAUGACAAGGAAUUCUGAGGUCAGGGGACAAGAAUCACAAGUUCCCUAGUGGGAGACUGAGGAGGCAGUGUCCUUCCUGCCCUUGGUCUACUGGCUAAGAACCUUCCUCAGCCUGACCUUUCCACAUUGCACUUUCAGCUCUGUUUGCAAUUGUCCUCCUUUAGUGCUGAGGGAAUCCCAGUGUUCGAUCCUGAAAUCUAUAGGUUCCUAAUGGGUGGUUAAAAAAAACCUCAGCGAGAGAAGCAGAAAAUGUUUCCUUUUCCUGAAAAACUGUAGAAAGGCAGGCACCAUUCUGGGUGAGGACAUGGUCCUUGCAAAUGUCUUUGUGUUUUGUGUUUUUUUUUUUUUUUUUUUUUUUUGAGAUGAAGUUUUGCUCUUGUUGCCCAGACUGGAGUGCAGUGGUGUGAUCUCUGCUCAUUGCAACCUCCACCUCCUGGGUUCAAGCAGUUCUCCUACCUCAGCCUCCUGAGUAGCUGGAAUUACAGGCACCUGCCACCACACCUGGCUAAUUUUUUGUAUUUUUAGUAGAGAUGGGGUUUUGCCAUGUUGGUCUCGAACUCCUGACCUCAAGUGAGCCACCCGCUUCUGCCUCCCAAAGUGCUGGGAUUACAGGAGUGAGCCACCGCGUCCAGCCUGCAAACAUCUUUAAAGACAGCGUGUUUCAGAGGCUGUGACGGUGCCUUGUGAACAUGCCAAUUCUCGCAGUCCCGGGAGCUCUGAGGAGCAGGCCCAGCUCCUUGCCAGGCUGAUGGUACUGAAACUCUGCUCUCCAAGACAUAACCUGAUGGCCGUGCAAGAUUUCUUAAUCGACUGUGGACCGUGAGAGUCUGCAUCUCAUUUUAAUUAAGAUGGGAAAAGAAAGAACAAAAGAGCAACUCCCAGGUUAUAGAGAAACUGGAUUUUAGUGUAAUAUUGAAGUGUAGCAUUGCUAAUAAUAACAAACCUUUCCCCUGCCAAACGGUAAACACUUGCACUGCCUAUUAUACAAAAAUUCAACCACCCUCUCUGUUCCCCCGAUAUCUCCUCCCCAGUGACCCCCCUCUCAUGCGGCCUCAUGAGCCUGGCCAGUGGUGAAUGGCACUUUCAUGGGCAUGAGACUCCACGUGAGUGGGACUCAGCUGGGACCCCUCUCCCCGUGGGAGCUGGAGAAGCCACCCUAGUGCCAGCUCAAAGUGUCUGUGAUGUCCCUGCUGCUGAGGUAGGGGCCGCCUCUGAGCUGGUCUUGGGGUGUGAGCUGCUGCUGGUAGUGGGCUCUGCCCUGAGGGCCUGGUGGCUGGUCAGAACGGCAGGCACACAUGGGUGACUCCCUAGGAACUCAGCCCACCUCCCCACCACAGCCCUGCACUGUGUGCUCCAGGCAUGUGCUGAGUGCCUGGUCAAUCACCAGUACCCUAUUGAUCCCCGUCUCCAGAGAGAUCAUUUAGUGUCACUCCACAGAGGGGGAAACUGAGGCCCAGAGAAGUAAGGUGACUCUCCCCAGUCACAGGGCUGCUCAGCAGUAGGAUGGGAGGCUAGUCCCUUGCUGUCUGACUCCCUGAGCCCACCCAUAUCCCAAGGCAGCCAACCUCUGCCCGCCCUGGUUCAGGCCCUGACUGGCCCCUGUGGUGGGUGAUGUCUAUCUUCCUGGACUUUAUGCUCCCAGCCAACUGGGAUGGAGCCUCCAGCUGGCAUGACAGGUUGUAGCUAUGGACAGAAGAGUGGCUGUGAGGCUGCCAGGAAUCUCACCAGGGCCCCCUCCCAGGGCCUGUCCAGAGUGAGGUCUGGGUACCCCAGGCAUUGCCAGACCACAGGAUCUGAUGUUGGCCAAGAGGCCAUGGCCACAGGCUUUCUGAGGCUGGCCCCCAGGGAGAGUUCAAUCCUACUAUCCCAAUUCCUGCCCUGGCCUUACCUCUCAGUCUCACCGAGCCGCUUCAUGGUCCCAAACCAGGACCCAAAGUGCUGCUUGGGCUCAAGGUUGUAAUUAUUUGCAGCCAACUGGAGCAGCGGACCUCCUUGCUUACUUUGAAUUCCUGGGUCCAGAGGGAAAAACUGGGUGGUGACAGGGACUGGACAGGGAUGCCACAGGGGCCCUGUGGGGGUGUUAGAUGGGGUGGUGGCCAGUCUUUGCUCAUAGGGCACAACCUCCUCCUCUCCAGUCCUGUCUCCACCUGUUCUCAGAGCUGGCUCAAACGGCAGCUCCUCCAGGAAGGUGUCCUUGGUUUCAACCUGGUACUCCCACCUGCAGGUCUUCCUGGAGUGUCUCCUCUUUGUCUCUGUCUCCCCAUAAAUCUAAGAUGAGGGGGAUGGAUUUGCCCACCGCUACUCACCAUAUGACUCUUGUGAGGUUGAUCAGUCUCCCCUGGAAGGCCAACAGCUGAAGUCCAUCAGAAAGGGUCCUCUGGCCCAGAGCCAGCCCCUGCCCACCCCUGUCAUGCUGCACCCAGGGUGCAAGACCCAGAUCAGGUCUGGGUGACAGGAGGGCUAUAGAGGGGCUGAGACUCAGGGGCCUUCUAGCCUAACUUGUCUGGAGACAUUUGGGGAAACUGAGACCCCAAGCAGGGAGGUAUGGCUCCGAGAGAUUAUUCUCAUUAAUCUGGAACAUUUUUGCAAGCUGUUAGGUAUAGGAAGUCUGUCACAGGUAAGAGAAAUGCUUUUUGAGAGCAUGAGAGACAGCAGGGUUGUGACAAUAUUGAAACACCACCAUGCAGAUUCACCAAUUGCCACCACCGGGAGCCCCCUGAGAGCCAUUGCAGAUGCACAGCCCUCCCCUGCAACCCCUGGACCUCCCCAUGGUCUGGCACCUAAAGGGUUAUGCCUUAUGGCAGGAAUCAGGGCCCUCAGGAUGCCCUGCCCACUCCAAGGUCUGCCUCUGCUCUGAUUGGUCACUGACAUUCAGAUAGUCACCCAAAUAUAAGGACGUUAGCAGAAAGACUCAUUCAAUACAAGUGGACUCAGACAUAGAUAGGAAUUGGGUUGCAAAAAGCCCCUUUUGUUUCUUUUAUUUUAUUUUGGAAAAAACUUUUAUUGUGAAAAUUCACAUGUAUGUAUAGAAAAAAAUUCAAUUAAUGCAAAAGGAUAGACAAUGAACAAAUGAAUUCCCCUUCCACUCCAGAUCCCCAACUCAGAUCCAGACCUCCUGAGCCCACUUCCCCCAUCUCAUCACAGAUCCAGACCUCCUGAGCCCACUUUCCCCAUCUCAUCACAGAUCCAGACCUCCUGAGCCCACUUCCCCAUCUCAUCACCAGUGAUUUCUUGGGCUCUGCAUUAGUUUUCUAUUGCUGCUGCAACAAACAGCUACAGACUCAGUGGCUUCCAUUUCUGUCUUAUAGUUCUGGUUGCCAAAAGUCCUAAGAGGAUCUCACUGGGCUAAAGUCAAGGUGCUGGCAGGGCUAUGUCCCUUCUGGAGGCUCAAGGGAUGAAUCGGGUCCCUGCCUUUUCUAGCUUCUAGGGGCUCCAGCUUCUAGGUUUGUGGCCUCCUUCCUCCAUCCUCAAAGCCAGCAACAGCAGGUGAAGUCCUCGCCCAUCGUGCAUCACUCUCCCUUCUGCCUCCUUCAACAUUUUUUUUUUAUAUUUAGGGGGAACGAGUACAGGAUUCUUACAUAGUCAAAAAGCUCCUUAUAGAGAAGCUCGGAACUUUCAAUACAGCUUUGCCUUUUUUGCCAUUUUAAUUUUCCAUUUAAUUUAAAUGUAUUCUCUCAUUUGAUCUUCAUACUCUGUGGAGAAAUAUUUCUAUUUCAGCUUGUAUUGACAAGCUGUUUUCACACAGCCCCCGCAUCACCCAACCAACCAGCCGAGAUCCUCAUUCCCAUGAAACAGAUAAAGAAACUGAGGCCCAGGGAGGCUAAGAGUCCUACCAGGAUCAUUCACCUUCCAAGGUAAGGAGCCCGUUCCAGACCUGGGUUUGUGCAGCUCCAAGCUCCCCCGUCUUUCUACAAUGCUAGAUUUAGACUAUAGCAAUCUAGCAAGUGUGGCCACACAAUGGUCAAGUUGGAUUUAGAUGAUGUUCUCUAUAAAUCCAUUCUCCUCUCCCGUGUAAGCAAGGCAAAGUACUCCAGGCCAUGGGGAGUCCCUGAAGACUCGAUGAACUGCAGUGGCCACAUCAGGAGGUUGCAGGUUAACCAGAACUCACCGACACAGCAGGAGAGCAGCUUGGAACCUGCAACCUAGCCAAAACCUAGUGCCUUGGAUUGGGGGAGAAAACAUGCAGCCAUUCCUCUCUCUCUGCUGGCUAGAGGGGAUUCUGGCUUUUCCUCCCAGAGCCACCCCUUUCCCUCCUCCUAAAGUUGAUGGUGGUUCUUUAAGGAAAGGGAGAAGUGCACAGUGUGAUAGGGCAGGAAGAGAAGGAAACGGAGGAGAGGAGGGGACUUUCCCAUAAGCAGGCAGAAGAAAAGGCAGCUGUGUUGUGAUGGACAUGGAUGCAGUGGUGUCCGAUGUGGGGUCAGCCCUAGAGGAGAGACAGAGAGAGAGACAGAAAAGUGAGAGAGUCCUGACCCUUACGAUUAACAUGGGAUCUGCCUGCAAAUGCUGUUUAGGGCCAUUGCCUCUUCCUGUACUGCUAUUUUUGAGAGUGAUGCUCCUGAGCCCCAUGACCCAGUCAAAUUUGAUGUCCCCUCGAGCCAGAUUCAGUGCUGGGAGUCCAGUGUGAUCUGCCUGGAUCUUGCUGCAUUGAGAACAGGCCAGAUCUUGACCCCAAUACAGGGGCUGGAUAUGAACAGGCAAUAGCUGGGUUUCUGAGUCAGAAAGACUUGGUUGAUUGCUAAUUGCUUAGGCGAGUAAUUUAAUUUUGUUGAGUCAGAUUCCUCAGCUACAAAAUGCAGAUGACAGUACUUACUCCUCCAGGUUGUGGGGAAAAUGGAGAUUCUGAGCACGAUGUCCAUUUCACAGAAAGGUACCAAUUUGGUGGCUUAUUUUCCUUUCUACCUUCAGAAGUGGCUAUCCCUGCCACCCAAACAGACCCUUGACUCUCAAGUGUACGGGGUCCCAUUUACACAGGGGGAGAGCUUACAGCCUACGUUGAGUCUAUACUUACCACUUAGUGAGCAUGGUAUCCGCUCAGGGGCCUCUGUGGGCAUCCAUCUCCUCUGCAGCAUCUUUCCUCCCCACCGCUGGGCCUGCACAUGACCCCCUCCUUGGGUUAGACCUCUGAUCAGUGAUGACCUUGGUAUGCUGGUGAUGGUCAGUCUUGGCACCAAAUGAGACAGUUUAUGUCAUCAGCUAUUCAAUAAAACACUAAUCUAGUUGUCACCGUGAAAGUAUUUUGUGACAUUGUUAUGUACGUGUUGUUACAAAUGUGCAUGAUGCAUUUACUACAGCAUAGAAUUUUGCCUGGGUGCCAGCCUGAAGUCUGUCCGACAGAUCAUAGCCAUGUUAGUCCCACAGUCACAGAGGCCAAUGGAUUAAAUUAUUUUAUCUCCCUUGAGAACAAAAAAUAAAAUCCUAAGCCCCCCACCCGACUUAACAGACCCCCUGUUGGCCAACGGAACCUCAAAUAAAUCUUAAAAUUCAGUUCUCGGCCAUGACAGGACAGGAGGUCAGACAUACCUCCCUGUACCUCCCUCCCUCUUAUGGUUUAGACCCAACAACUGAGCAGCAUUAAUGUUAAAAUAGAGAUCAUGAGACUGACAGAACAGACUCUUUGUGGCAAUAAGACCUCAAAUUAUAAACAGGGCCUAGGGCCAUGCCAGGCGAGGGUUAAGUCUUGUACCCUACUCUUAAAGAAUUAACUAGAUUCUAACUACCACAUGGGUUUUAUUUUUCUCUAGCAGCCAAGCAAGCACUGGCUGUGAGAGAAGCAAGAUUAAAACAAUUACAACUCACCCAGUUCACAGACGCUGAGUAACUGAUCUCCUGCCCCACUAACCUUAACGACAGCUUUCUCUGGACAAGGGACUGAUUUCAGUAACUUUCUCCUGAUAAGAGACCAUCCUCCAUGGACUGGUUCUGGCCAGUUUUAGAGGCUGUGCCUUUACAGAGGCUGAGCCUUUACAGAGGCUGAGUACCUUUAUGUCCCUGCUUCACUUUUUGAUGUGUAGGGCCUAAUUAUAAUACAUUUAAAUGUCAAGUCUCCACCCCAGAAUGAACAUGCAUGUUUAUUGAAUAUGCAUGCGUUAGGACCUCUUUUAUGAGUAUUCUCAUAAAAUGAUGUAGCUCCUCUGAUAUCCUAUUGAGUAUGUAUAUGUAGCCAACUCAUUUGGCUCAAAUUCCUGUCCUCUCCUUCCCUCCCUGGAAAUGCCUGCCUCUGGCCUUGGCUGUAGGCCACACUUCCCAGCCUGUCAUAAUGGCCACCUUGCGGACUGCAAACCUUUAUAAGAAAUAAAGCUCUCUUUUCUAAAUUUA
rnacentral:lncRNA from 1 species